CUUGAUGGUAGUGUAUUGGACUACCAUGGCUUUUACGGGUAACGGAGAAUUAGGGUUCGAUUCCGGAGAAGGAGCCUGAGAAACGGCUACUACGUCCAAGGAUGGCAGCAGGCGCGUAAAUUACCCAAUCCUGAUUCAGGGAGGUAGUGACAAGAUAUAGCAAUACAAUUUUAAUUGUAAUUGCAGUGAAGGUAUUCUAAAUUGAACUCUAAGCACUAUUGGAGGGCAAGUCUGGUGCCAGCAGCCGCGGUAAUUCCAGCUCCAAUAGCGUAUAUUAAAGUUGUUGCAGUUAAAAAGCUCGUAGUUGGACUUCAUAGACUCCAGUUUGUAUAACAGACUGGAUCGAACUAGCCUUUGGCUGUUACUGUGAGAAAAUUAGAGUGUUUCAAGCAGGCAUUUGCAGGAAUACAUUAGCAUGGAAUAACGAAUAAAUUUAGAAUCUUGGUUAAUUCUAAAAUUUGAUUAAUAGGGACAGUUGGGGGCAUUAGUAUUUAAUAGUCAGAGGUGAAAUUCUUGGAUUUGUUAAAGACUAACAUAUGCGAAAGCAUUUGUCAAGGAUGUUUUCAUUAAUCAGCGGGCUAAAGAUAGGGGAUCAAAGACGAUCAGAUACCGUC
rnacentral:rRNA from 1 species